AUUGAACGCUAGCGGGAUGCUUUACACAUGCAAGUCGAACGAGUGGCGGACGGGUGAGUAAUAUAUCGGAACGUUCCCAGUCGCGGGGGAUAACUACUCGAACGCGUGGCUAAUCCCGCAUACUAUUCGUUCGUCCCUUAUGCGAUUAGCUAGUUGGUGGGGUAAAGGCUCACCAAGGCAACGAUCCGUAGCUGGGUUGAGAGGACGACCGGCCACACGGGGACUGAGAAACGGCCCAGACUCCUACGGGAGGCAGCAGUGGGGAAUUUUAGACAAUGGGGGAAAGGCUGAUCCAGCCAACCCGCGUGUAUGAGAAGGCCUUCGGGUUGUAAAGUACUUUUGGCAGAGAAGCGGUAAGUGAAGAAUAAGCAACGGCUAACUACGUGCCAGCCGACGCGGUAAUAG
rnacentral:rRNA from 1 species